rnacentral:rRNA from 1 species
CAGCCGCCGCGGUAAUACGGAGGGCGCGAGCGUUGUCCGGAUUCACUGGGCGUAAAGCGGGUGUAGGCGGUCGGGUAAGUCGGACGUGAAAGCCCGGGGCUCAACCCCGGAAGGGCGUCCGAAACUGCUCGACUUGAGGGCGGGAGAGGGAGGUGGAAUACCCGGUGUAGCGGUGAAAUGCGUAGAUAUCGGGAGGAACACCAGUGGCGAAGGCGGCCUCCUGGCCCGCUCCUGACGCUGAGACCCGAAAGCGUGGGGAGCAAACCGGAUAAGAUCCCCGGUUAGUCCACGCCGUAAACGGUGGGCACUAGGUGUGGGGGGUUAAUCCCUCCGUGCCGAAGCUAACGCAUUAAGUGCCCCGCCUGGGGAGUACGGCCGCAAGGUUGAAACUUAAAGGAAUUGGCGGG